GAGCCUGUUUCUCCCUCCCCGCCUGAGACGAGCCCAAUGAGCACGGACUCGCCCCCAAAGAAGCUUACAAUUAUCAAAAACAACGGGAAGUACAAGUUGAAGACCAGUAAAGGCAGAAAUCCAUUGAAGCUUUCAUUGAAGGAGAAGAUGCUACCCCAAAACAAAUUGGCAGUGCUUAAAAUGAAAAAGCAACUCAAGAAGCGGCGCUUACAAAAAGGAAAGAAAGAUCGAGUCAAGCGAGCCUAUGGAAGCUGAAAGCAAUCGAGCCGGCAGCUGAAAGCGAUGAAUUGAAGGAUCCAUCAUCGCCACCUAAAGAGCAAGAGGAAAAAGUCAAGAGAGCGUACCGGAAGAAAGAAAUUCCUACCAACUCAAAAUCUGUUCAAAAGAAGGAAGAACGUGGGUCUAAUGAGGAGUGCACUGAAGUAGAGAUGAACGAAGAGGUUGAAUCAGUCUCUAAGGCAAAAAGGCAGAAGAGUCCAGCGAAAAAACGAAAGAAGAAGAAACAGGACUUCGGACCGGACUUCGACUUGUACUAUUCUCAAACUUUCGAUCGCUUAUCAGAUGAACAUCCCGAGCUGAAAGAAGAGGAUAUUGAGAAAUAUCUGCGGAAAGUUUGGCUGUCGAUGGAUGACAAUCAAAAACUCCAGUACCAACCACGAUUUGUGAAGGAUGAUUCUUCGGAGGAAGAAAAAGAAAGUGAAGAAGAAAGCGAGGAAAAUGAAGAGGAAGGCGAUCCAUGCAGCUCUGACCCGGCCGUAACAGAGAGCAUCGAUAGACUGUCCUCCUCCUCCCCACCCCCUAUUGUGGAAGCAGUCUCCAAAAGGGGGAAAAACAAAGCUUGUUCAGGUA
rnacentral:lncRNA from 1 species